rnacentral:tRNA from 1 species
UGUCCAAUGCGGGGAUCGAACCCGGGUCGUAGUGGUCGUAAACCAAACGGUUUAACCAGCCUUCACAAUUUGUUAAAUAAAAUAAAAAGAC